CGAGCGGACAGAUGGGAGCUUGCUCCCUGAUGUUAGCGGCGGACGGGUGAGUAACACGUGGGUAACCUGCCUGUAAGACUGGGAUAACUCCGGGAAACCGGGGCUAAUACCGGAUGCUUGUUUGAACCGCAUGGUUCAAACAUAAAAGGUGGCUUCGGCUACCACUUACAGAUGGACCCGCGGCGCAUUAGCUAGUUGGUGAGGUAAUGGCUCACCAAGGCAACGAUGCGUAGCCGACCUGAGAGGGUGAUCGGCCACACUGGGACUGAGACACGGCCCAGACUCCUACGGGAGGCAGCAGUAGGGAAUCUUCCGCAAUGGACGAAAGUCUGACGGAGCAACGCCGCGUGAGUGAUGAAGGUUUUCGGAUCGUAAAGCUCUGUUGUUAGGGAAGAACAAGUGCCGUUCAAAUAGGGCGGCACCUUGACGGUACCUAACCAGAAAGCCACGGCUAACUACGUGCCAGCAGCCGCGGUAAUACGUAGGUGGCAAGCGUUGUCCGGAAUUAUUGGGCGUAAAGGGCUCGCAGGCGGUUUCUUAAGUCUGAUGUGAAAGCCCCCGGCUCAACCGGGGAGGGUCAUUGGAAACUGGGGAACUUGAGUGCAGAAGAGGAGAGUGGAAUUCCACGUGUAGCGGUGAAAUGCGUAGAGAUGUGGAGGAACACCAGUGGCGAAGGCGACUCUCUGGUCUGUAACUGACCCUUAAGAACCAAAACCUUGGGGAGCGAACCGGG
rnacentral:rRNA from 1 species